rnacentral:lncRNA from 1 species
CGCGAGUGGCGCUGCAGCUAGCUGGUUGGCGGGACUGCUGCUGGCCCAGCUGAAAUGGUUCCUCCUCCUCCACCUCCGUCCCGGUUGCUUCUGGUAGCCCUGGUGGGUCUCCUGAGUCUUCACGAGGUGGUGGCUGAGCCGGCGGAGGAGGCAGGAACCCGUUGUCCCGAAGGCCUGUGGCCUCUGCCUCCACAGGUAGGAACCCUGUAGGGCCGAGGACGAGAAGGGUAUGAACUAUGAACGGCCUCGCUGCACCCUCGGUGGUCGCCCGAUUGGGACAUCUGUUGGUUUCUCCUGCCCUCAGUCUCCAGCGUCUGCAUCUCAGCCCAGGGCUUGGGGCUAGUUGUCCCCUUCUUCACACCCAACACGAAGUCCCCAGCUGCUCUCUUCUUUCCCCAUGUGUAGGUGUUACCAAGAGUGACUUACACACAGGUGAGACAAGGACAGGUAAGUACAAUCAGGGGCUCAUCUUGGGAUCCUUCCCUGGCGACAGAAUGUUUCUCAUAGGUUACCUCUGUCACUCUUGGCUCUCAGCUCCACCCCUCUACCACUUUGUGCAAAAAGAGGUAGGGCUUCUUCCACUUGUGGGUCCCAGGACAGAUCGGUAGUCUGGGCUCAGGUGUUCUAUCGAGUAGCUAGACGCGUGGCAAGUAACACCGAGAGGAACUCUGAAGGUAGCAAGACAACCCCCAUCCCAAUGCUGGUGUGAUUGGGAUUCUCUUGUCUUUCUAGGCUCUGAUUUUCUGCAAGAGACGUGAAUGAAUAGUGUUUGGCUCGCAAAACACUGUAUCAUGUUAGCAGUGUGCGC